GACGAACCGUACGAACGUUAUUCGGAAUCACUGGGCUUAAAGGGUGCGUAGGCUGCGCAGCAAGUUGGGUGUGAAAUCCCUCGGCUCAACCGAGGAACUGCGCCCAAAACUGCUGUGCUCGAGGGAGAUAGAGGUGAGCGGAACUUAGGGUGGAGCGGUGAAAUGCGUUGAUAUCCUAAGGAACACCGGUGGCGAAAGCGGCUCACUGGAUCUCUUCUGACGCUGAGGCACGAAAGCUAGGGUAGCGAACGGG
rnacentral:rRNA from 1 species